GGACUGUGGCUCAGCGGCAAAGUGCUUGCCUAGUACGUGUGAGGCCCUGGGUUCGAUCCUCAGCACCA
rnacentral:tRNA from 1 species